UACGGGGGGUGCAAGCGUUGUCCGGAAUCAUUGGGCGUAAAGCGUUCGUAGGCGGUAUAUCAAGUCUGAUGUCAAAGCCCGGGGCUCAACUCCGGUUCGGCAUUGGAUACUGGUAAACUAGAAUGCGGUAGAGGUAAAGGGAAUUUCCGGUGUAGCGGUGAAAUGCGGAGAUAUCGGGAGGAACAUCAGAGGCGAAAGCGCUUUACCUGGCCGUGAUUGACGCUGAGGAACGAAAGCCGGGGGAGCAAAU
rnacentral:rRNA from 1 species